GCAGAAAGAGCUGCCGAGCAUGAGAUUCUUAAUCUCAGGGUCAUGAGUUUGAGUCCCAUUUUGAGCA
rnacentral:tRNA from 1 species